rnacentral:rRNA from 1 species
AACGAACGCUGGCGGCAUGCCUAACACAUGCAAGUCGAACGAGACCUUCGGGUCUAGUGGCGCACGGGUGCGUAACGCGUGGGAACCUGCCCUUAGGUUCGGAAUAACUCCCCGAAAGGGGUGCUUAUACCGGAUAAUGUCUUCGGACCAAAGAUUUAUCGCCUUUGGAUGGGCCCGCGUUGGAUUAGCUAGUUGGUAGGGUAAAAGCCUACCAAGGCGACGAUCCAUAGCUGGUCUGAGAGGAUGAUCAGCCACACUGGGACUGAGACACGGCCCAGACUCCUACGGGAGGCAGCAAUGGGGAAUAUUGGACACUGGGCGAAAGACUGAUCCAGCAAUGCCGCGUGAGUGAUGAAGGCCUUAGGGUUGUAAAGCUCUUUUACCCGGGAUGAUAAUGACAGUACCGGGAGAAUAAGCUCCGGCUAACUCCGUG